rnacentral:lncRNA from 1 species
GGACUAAGUGCAUUUCAACAUGGCGACUGAACAACUUUUCCUUCGUUUCAUCACAAAAAUGGGGGGCAAGGGGUUACAAAUUGCAGCAAAACAUUAAGAAGGUGGCCGUGCUAUACACUGGCAACUUUGUGCAGUUUCAUCCAGGAAGGUCACAAGAAUGAAGAAAAUGAUCACCAACCACCAAAG